CUAAAUGGUCUUGCCUCACUCCGCUGCCACCAUGACCGAGAAUAAGAGGUUCCAUGAAAGAUUGGUUCCUGGAUAUGUUUGUGUAACAGUUACUCUGCUGCUUAAUAGUUGGUUGAGCUGUUACCAAACCAGGUUGAGCAGAUAAAGGAGCUGCUACCCAAACAGGUUGAGCAGAUUCAGGAGCUGCCACCCAAACAGGUUGAGCAGAUUCAGGAGCUGCCACCGUUCUAGCAUAUCCAAGAUGAAGGGGUAAUGUUGAACUGCUGCUAAAUGGAAAUGAAGGAGGAGGCAAACCACCUUGAACGCACUUGAAGGGAUCAGGUUCAGAGAGUCUUAGAUCAGCU
rnacentral:lncRNA from 1 species